rnacentral:rRNA from 1 species
AUUGAACGCUGGCGGCAGGCCUAACACAUGCAAGUCGAACGAGGGGCGGACGGGUGAGGAAUGUCUGGGAAACUGCCCGAUGGAGGGGGAUAACUGCAGGAAACGGUAGCUAAUAACGCAUACGAUCGGAUGGGCGCAGAUGGGAUUAGAUUGUAGGUGAGGUAACGGCUCACCCAGGGGACGGUCCCUAGCUGGUGUGAGAGGAUGACCAGCCACACUGUAACGGAGACACGUUCCAGACUCCUACGGGAGGCAGCAGUGGGGAAGUUUGCACAAUGGGGGCAAGCCUGAUGCAGCCAUGCCGCGUGUAUGAAGAAGGCCUUCGGGUUGUAAAGUACUUUCAGCGGGGAGGCGUUACCCGCAGAAGAAGCACCGGCUAACUCCGUGCCAGCCGCCGCGGUAAUCC